UCACACAGAGCACAGUCCUGUAGUUACCCA
rnacentral:piRNA from 1 species